rnacentral:rRNA from 1 species
UACGAAGGGGGCUAGCGUUGCUCGGAAUUACUGGGCGUAAAGGGUGCGUAGGCGGGUCUUUAAGUCAGGGGUGAAAUCCUGGAGCUCAACUCCAGAACUGCCUUUGAUACUGAGGAUCUUGAGUUCGGGAGAGGUGAGUGGAACUGCGAGUGUAGAGGUGAAAUUCGUAGAUAUUCGCAAGAACGCCAGUGGCGAAGGCGGCUCACUGGCCCGAUACUGACGCUGAGGCACGAAAGCGUGGGGAGCAAACAGG